rnacentral:sRNA from 1 species
CUCACUCGUUCCCUAACAUUAAAGAGAAAAUGCUGCUAUCCGUGACUUCCAGGCCCGGGAUUUCGACUUUUGGCUACAAUAGAAACAACAAGAAGGAGAAUAUGCAAUAUGCAGUAUAACAAAAAAUACAGAACAGAAACAGGACAAGGGAAAAUAUCAAUUGGACUAAGAAGUCAGUUGGAAUUAAAAGGCAACCAUAUGUGUCACUGGCUCAGCAGAUGGCACCACCUAGCCCAAGCAACAGUACACCUAACAGCAGUAGUGGAAGCAAUGGAAAUGACCAGCUGAGCAAAACCAACCUAUACAUCCGAGGAUUGCAGCCAGGCACUACUGACCAAGAUCUUGUCAAGCUGUGUCAGCCAUAUGGCAAGAUUGUUUCCACUAAGGCCAUACUGGACAAGACCACAAACAAAUGUAAAGGCUAUGGCUUUGUAGAUUUUGACAGCCCUUCAGCAGCACAGAAAGCUGUAACAGCACUGAAGGCCAGCGGUGUACAGGCACAGAUGGCAAAGCAACAGGAACAGGACCCCA